CUAAGAAUAUUCCGCAAUGGACGGAAGUCUGACGGAGCGACGCCGCGUGGAUGAAGAAGGCCGAAAGGUUGUAAAGUUCUUUGCUGGGGAAGAAUAACCGCAGGAGGGAAUGCCUGUGGGAUGACAAGAACCGGCGAAUAAGCCCCGGCCAACUACGUGCCAGCAGCCGCGGUAACACGUAGGGGGGCGAGCGUUGUUCGGAAUUACUGGGCGUAAAGGGCAUGUAGGCGGCUUGGAAGGCCUGGCGUGAAAGUCUGCAGCUUAACUGCAGGGGUGCGCUGGGAACUGCUGAGCUUGAGUGACGGAGAGGGAGCUGGAAUUCCUGGUGUAGGGGUGAAAUCUGUAGAUAUCAGGAAGAACACCGAUGGCGAAGGCAAGCUCCUGGCCGAUGACUGACGCUGAGGUGCGAAAGUGUGGGGAUCAAACAGGAUUAGAUACCCUGGUAGUCCACACAGUCAACGAUGUGCACUAGGUGCUGGGGCGGUAGCUUCGGUGCCGGAGCGAAACGUGGUAAGUGCACCGCCUGGGGAGUAUGCUCNCAAGGGUGAAACUCAAGGAAUUGACGGGGGUCAUANCUG
rnacentral:rRNA from 1 species